rnacentral:rRNA from 1 species
UUGGCGGCGUGCCUAAUACAUGCAAGUCGAGCGAAUCUGAGGGAGCUUGCUCCCAAAGAUUAGCGGCGGACGGGUGAGUAACACGUGGGCAACCUGCCUGUAAGACUGGGAUAACUCCGGGAAACCGGGGCUAAUACCGGAUAAUAUCUAUUUAUACAUAUAAUUAGAUUGAAAGAUGGUUCUGCUAUCACUUACAGAUGGGCCCGCGGCGCAUUAGCUAGUUGGUGAGGUAACGGCUCACCAAGGCGACGAUGCGUAGCCGACCUGAGAGGGUGAUCGGCCACACUGGGACUGAGACACGGCCCAGACUCCUACGGGAGGCAGCAGUAGGGAAUCUUCCGCAAUGGACGAAAGUCUGACGGAGCAACGCCGCGUGAGUGAUGAAGGUUUUCGGAUCGUAAAACUCUGUUGUUAGGGAAGAACAAGUACCGGAGUAACUGCCGGUACCUUGACGGUACCUAACCAGAAAGCCACCGGCUAACUACGUGCCAUCAGCCGCGGUAAUACCUAUGUGGCAAGC